UGCAGACUGCAAGACAGGGGCGUAACUUGAAAGAGGCGUAACUUGAAGUAGGAGGCGUAACUUGAAGUUGUCGAAAUCUCACAGAAUCACGCGAGAUGUCAAAACGAUAAGUUGUUGAUUACGUUUUUUAAGGGAAGCAGAGGUUUUAGGCAGGAUUUGAUGCAUAAGGUGUGUGUAGAUAUUAAUGUUAGGGGAGAAUGUGAGUGAUGUGUACAUUUAGUAGGAAAACCUAUUAUCUGAUCCACACUCCGGGACAGAAGAGGGCGGUAUUGCACCAAUAAGCUGGAUGCCAACCGCCGUUAAACUGGAAAGAAGUUACAAUGAGUUACAAUGAUCUUUUGUGGUGGAGCAGGACCUGCAAGGAAAGGGGAAAAAAAAGGAAAAAAACCUGAAACAAAAAGAAUAAAGUAAUGACUUUUUGUAUUGUGUGUGUGUAUUUCUGUAG
ensembl:lncRNA